rnacentral:rRNA from 1 species
GAGCGAGGCAAAGCCGCGAGGCAGAGCGAAUCGCUAAAAGCCGUCCCAGUUCGGAUUGCAGGCUGCAACCCGCCUGCAUGAAGUUGGAAUCGCUAGUAAUCGCGGAUCAGCAUGCCGCGGUGAAUACGUUCCCGGGCCUUGUACACACCGCCCGUCACACCAUGAGAGUCGGGAACACCCGAAGUCCGUAGCCUGACCGCAAGGGGGGCGCGGCCGAAGGUGGGUUCGAUAAUUGGGGUGAAGUCGUAACAAGGUACC